AUACGGAGGAUGCGAGCGUUAUCCGGAUUUAUUGGGUUUAAAGGGUGCGUAGGCGGUCGGGUAAGCGUAGGGUGAAAGUCCUCUGCUCAACAGGGGAAGUGCCUUCCGAACUGUCCGACUUGAAUUCUCCUGCCGUGGGAGGAAUGUGUGGUGUAGCGGUGAAAUGCAUAGAGAUCACACAGAACACCGAUUGCGAAGGCAUCUGACGAAGCUGUCACUGACGCUGAGGCACGAAAGCGUGGGGAUAGAACAGGAUUAGAUACCCUGGUAUUCCACGCCGUAAACGAUGAUGACUAACCGUCGGCGAUAGACAGCCGGUGGCCAAGCGAAAGCGAUAAGUCAUCCACCUGGGGAGUACGUCGGCAACGAUGAAACUCAAAUGAAUUGGCGGGG
rnacentral:rRNA from 1 species